CUACUACUCCCUCCGUCCGAAAAUACUUGUCAUUUAAAUGGAUGUAUCUAGAUGUAUUUUAGUUCUAGACACAUCCAUUUUGAUGAUAAGUAAUUCCGGACGGAGGGAGUAUUAU
rnacentral:pre_miRNA from 1 species